GCAGUGUGUAAAAACAUGAUGAUUUUGGUUGAACAAGGAGCCUGGCUGGAUGACUUAAUCAGAGAAAUGCUGCCUCCCAAGCAUGUGGACCUGCCCUUGAGUCACAGAUUCCCAGGUGGAAGCAUGCUCAGAGAUCUACACCCCAGAUCCUGGAUGCUCUGGUCAGUGUUCUACCUUCCUGAUGCCUGCUUUCGUGAUAGCAUUAGAUGGCAUCUGUCCUACGCACUGCAGCACUGCAUUGACUGCAAUGAUGCAAGAGUCAAGCUGCCACCUCAGACAUCCAGGUGAUAGGGCUGAACCUCAUUGGGUCCCAAUGUUCGUCACAUCAUAGACUCACCCUGCAAACGAAUGCAGCAAACUAUGCCAGCUACUUUUAAAAUGCCUUCCCGGAGUCUGAGUCCUCCUUUCAACAUUCUGUAUCGAGAUGAGAAAUGUCCAGAGGGCUUCACAACUGAUCUGUAACAAG
rnacentral:lncRNA from 1 species